CAGUUAAGCGUCGAGGGGAGAUGCAGUUUUCUAUGGGCAUCUACUUAAUGGGGAGGAAUCGGCCCACCCUCAACCUACACUGAGACAUCCACUGUUUACAAGCUGAGCUUACCUAUUCUUGGUGUUUGGGAGAGACAACAGCUGCAGCCAAGGGAAUGUAAUGACCCUUGACCUUAUUGACCCAUUUGACCGCCAUCCUGCUCAUGUGAUGGCCCAACAAGACAGACGACCGCUAGCCUUCUGACACCCGUACCUCAGGGACAGCUUGACCCAGCAGGAGCAGGAACCUGGCCAGAAGCUGCCUCCCAUUAGCAGAGGUGCCCGUGCAGUCACACAGAGCCCACUGGUCAUCACUUCAUCAUCCUCUUUUGAGCUACCCAGAGAGUGGAGGGUCUGGUAUGGACUCUGGCCCUCUAGACUGGCCAGUGGGUGACCGUCGUAGCGGAGACAUACACCUGCCUUUUAUCGCAGACUUGUACGAUAUAACUACAGGAAGAACCAGCACCAGACACGGCGUCCACUCACUCCCUCCUGCUCUCUCACAGCUGGACAACUCUGUUGGUCACAUCAAGGACAGGCUCAGGCUCUUGGCUAGAGAAUGACCCAGAGAUUCGACAAAGAGAGGAAGCACACUCAAGCCUUGAGGGCCGCACACCAGGAAGAGGUGGAGAGAGCCCGACGAAGGCUGCGAGCUGAGCAGAUGGAAACUCUCAACGUUAAAUCUUAUUAUUUUUUUGUGACUCCAAGCUUGACACUGAGGUGGCUCAUACAACAAGGGAUAAAAUGGCUAUACUGGAUUUGUCACGGAGACUUCAGAACACACUGGAUCAGCACAUUGGCAAAAUAUGAUCAGAGCUUGUUUGACUUAAUGAGAAACAAAACUGACCAACAGAAACAAUGAAGGGUUAGAGAAUUGUAUUCCUUUGACUUUUGAUUUGAAGAGAAGCGUAUCAGUACAACAGUUGUGGUAAUAAAGUGCUGGAAAGAAAAAAGAAAGACAAAGGGAUAAAGAGUUUUGCUUGAGUUUAAAUGACUAGCAUAUCAAGACAUUUUAAAGAUAAAAAGACACUACGCAGAGACAGGAAAGAAUACCUUUCAAUGAAAUCUGAUAGACUAGAAGUUUUGAGUGAUGUUAUGGUGCUUUCUUUUGCAUGCAGCAUACAUGCAUAGUGAAACUCUUUCAGUCACUCAACCACACUGACCCAGUAAAGGAAUUAUUGCUGGUUAGCAUUGAACCCAUGAUACAGUUGAGGCCACAUAUAUAUUAUAUUUGUAACGAAAUAGAUUCGAAAAAAAUGAAUUAUUGUUUAAAAUGAAUUACUGCUUUCGUCCUGAUGUUUCCACUGUUUAAAAUUGAAGUGGGUAAUACGAGUGCUAUGGACCAAUGGAAAGUGAACUUUUUGUAGUCAAUGCCUCCCCACCCCUGGUUUCAGCCCCUUACAGAAUCAACAGACGGAAACAAAAGUAGGACCUAUCAGUGGCGCCUUCCAACCACUUUCUGGAAGUAGAAGACAAAAGCUGGUUACCGAUUGAGGAAUGAUGACUGUACUGCACGUACAUACCUAUUGUAAUAAAAAUUAUACACUUACAUUCUCCAGAGCUUUCUGACUUAAAGGACUGAAGGGAUAUUGGAUUGCCCCUUCAGACAAGAUGUCAGUGCCACAUCAGCAUGACACUGUUAAUGUUAUUUGAAAACAUAAUUCUCCCCUUUCUAUUUUUUUCUUGUUAUGGGAGCAGGCAUGAUUAUGCUAAUAGUGUGAAUAUAAUGGCGAAUUAUAUUGAUUUUUGGUUUUCAUAAGCAGCCUCCAUCUUCUUUUUCCGUGAAUACUCCAAAAAUUACACAUGCAAAAUGAUUGAAUAAUAAAAUCUAUCAAGCUUA
rnacentral:misc_RNA from 1 species